AAUUCCCCUGUUCAUUGCAAGCCUGAAGAAUUGACAAAGAGUCGUAGUUUCAGUAAUAAUGAUAAUAAUAAAUUCUAAGCAAACUGAGACAAAAUUCAAGAUAGCCUGAUAAAAUCAUUUAGGAACAUCAAAAUGAUCCAUAAUAUUUUGAAUUUGCAAAUUGAGAUUCCAUUUCCUUUUAAGAAUGGAAAUACAAUAUUGGCUAUUCUUCGCUAGGAUAAAUUUUUUAGAAUAAAAGAAGGAAUUAGUGGUACAGGUUUUCAGCAUUAAAAUUGUGCAGGUAAAUGAACACAUUUGGUGAGAGAAUUCCAUGUCCUAGGAAUCACUAUCAUUCAAAUCAAGUUUUAGAAUGCACUCAUAAAAUAGAAAGACCACGAAGAAAUUUAUAUAAUGUCUUCACUAAAAAUUUAUUCCAACAGAGGUUCAAUAGAUACUUGUUCAAUUCAUUACCAAGGGUAAAUUCUACAGCUCCACAAGUUGCAAAGAAGUUGCCUUGAGAUCCUUUAAUAUGACUUUUAACUAUGUUAGGAUGCUAAAAAUGGAGUUGGGUGUAUCCUUUAUUCAAUUUUAAUUUUCUGCUUGCCCUCCAAUGGUUCUAAGAUCUUCAUUUUAUUCUCUGGAAAUUCUGAACUUUUGUAUGAUGGAUGAGAAAAAAAUUUGAAGAUAGUGACAGAUCUUACCGAAGCUGAUGUAGCCAAAGCAAUUGAAAUAGCUUGCUCUCUCAAUUUUAACUCUUUCUCCACUUCUUUUCUUUGCACCUCACUUUGUCGCAAGAGCCCUACAAGUUCUUUAAAUUGUUCCUUCAUUUCCUUGAUUUCCAUUUCCUUUUCCCAUACCUGACUGAUUUCCAUUUCCUUUUCCCAUACCUGAC
rnacentral:misc_RNA from 1 species